UCUGGUUGAUCCUGCCAGUAGUGAUAUGCUUGUUUCAAAGAUUAAGCCAUGCAUGUCUAAGUAUAAGCGAACUUAUACAGUGAAACUGCGGAUGGCUCAUUAAAACAGUUUGAAUUUAUUUGAUGAAUGUAUGAGAAUACUACUUGGAUAACCGUAGUAAUUCUAGAGCUAAUACAUGCAACGACGCCCGACCGUUUCACUACGGAAGGGCUGUAUUUAUUGGAUACCAAAACCAUCCUUCCCUCGGGAAGUUUUGUUUGAUGAUUCACAAUAACUGAUCGGAUCGCCACUGUGGUGGCGACAGGUCAUUCAACAUUCUGCCCUAUCAGCUUUCGAUGGUUGUGUAGUGGACAACCAUGGCCAUAACGGGUAACGGAGAAUCAGGGUUCGAUUCCGGAGAAGGAGCUUGAGAAUUGGCUACUACAUCUAAGGAAGGCAGCAGGCGCGCAAAUUACCCAAUCCCGAUUCGGGGAGGUAGUGACAAAAAAUAACAAUACCGGGCCUUUUUGGGCUUGGUAAUUGGAAUGAGGGAGAGUUAAACGGACCAUCGAGUAUCCAUUGGAGGGCAAGUCUGGUGCCAGCAGCUGCGGUAAUACCAGCUCCAAUAGCGUAUAUUAAAGUUGUUGCAGUUAAAAAGCUCGUAGUUGGACUUGUGUGCGCUGUCCGCGGGUGGCCUGCGCCCAAAAGGGCGUUUCGGUUCGGCCCCGGUGGCGCCUUGAAAUCUGCAGCUGGGGGGACGUUGGCCUUAACUGGUCGGCGACCGCACGCCGGCUGCUCGGUUACUGUGAGAAAAUUAGAGUGUUCAAGGCAGGCAUUGGGUGCAAUUGAAUACAUUAGCACGGAAUAAUAAAAUAUGGCUCCUGCCGUAUUUUGUUGGUUUUGACUGGUGGGAGUAAUGAUUGAUAGGGACGGUUGGGGGUGCUAGUAUUGAGCGGCCAGAGGUGAAAUUCAUGGAUUCGCUCAAGACUAACUUAUGCGAAAGCAUUCACCAAGGACGUCCUCUUUAAUCAAGAACGAAAGUUGGGGGAUCGAAGACGAUCAGAUACCGUCGUAGUCUCAACCAUAAACUAUGUCGACUUGGGAUCGGCGGUAGUUUUUUCAUUAAGACACUGUCGGGACCACGGGAGAAAUCAAAGUGUCUGGACUCUGGGGGAAGUAUGGUCGCAAGGCUGAAACUUGAAGGAAUUGACGGAAGGGCACCACCAGGAGUGGAGCCU
rnacentral:rRNA from 1 species